rnacentral:lncRNA from 1 species
CACAUAGAACAGAAAUACCACUUCUUAGACGUGCUUUCUAUAACUCAUAUUUCUUUGUGAAUUUGGUCAGGUCUCACAAAAAGGUAAGAUUGUAGCUUUAAAAAUGAAAAGCUGAAACGUCUUGAGUCAAUAAGUUUUCAACCCCUUUGUCAUGGCAAGCCUAAAUAAAUUCAGGAGUAAAAAUGUGCUGAACAAGUCACAAAAUAAGUUACCUGGACUCAAUCUGUGUGCAAUAAGUGUUUAACAUUUUUUAAUGACUACCUCAUCUAUGUACAGGCAGGGAAUAAGCAAAAGACAUCAUUAGUGAGGCAGGCAAAAAGUAUCAUACACAGGAGGAGUAACUCAUGGGGGGGAAACAUAGCUCUGCAAGACGUGUGUCACAAAACAAACAAUACACCCCACAGUGAUGGUUUGCAAAGAACUGAACUAAAUAGUGUGUAAUAAUGACAUACAGGUGUGUGAACAGGUGAUUAGAAUUCAGGUGAUUGGGAUCUGGAGAGUGAGCUGCGUUCAGGGGAUCUAUGUGUUUGAGGGUGUGAGUUUGAAAGUGGGCUGGAAAGUGAGCUGCGUUCAGGGGAUCUACGUGUUUGAGGGUGUGAGUUGGAAGCAGAUGUUACAAAAUGUUGUAAAGAGUUUUUAUUUACAAUGACGAGAACAGAAAAAUUUAACUGAAUCAUUAAUUAAUUGCACAGACAGAUGUUGGUUUGUUCAUUAAUUGAAAGAUAAAGGAGCCUGUCCGUAGUUAUUUAGUAUUUCCUGCCUAAUAACUUUUGCAUGUACACACGUGGUACCAGUCACCCUUCUCUCUAAUUAGUAAGAACACCACUGUCUCUCUCUCACCUGAAGAGACUGUGAAGCUGAUCUUCACAGAGCACAAAUGUGCAGCCUUGAAAGUUGCUCUCCAGUCUGUAGCCAUCCAGGGGCAGUGAAAGGAAUGGUGGUGUCUCCUUAUGGUGAACUAUGUGUCGCGUUGUGAUUGGAGGCAGCUGGUAAGACAAGAGGCUCCCCACCUGUACCUUUCCAAAGUGGGAGUCGACUAAAAUCUUUUCAGCAGGUAGAGGGUCAAAGUUCUUGUAUGCCUCUUCUAUCUGGAGAACUGAGAGGUCAGGGAGCGUUCUGCAAAGCAGCCGCUGUGGUUAGCCAAUCUGAACAAUGUACUUGAAGCCACUUGAAAUUAAAUCAUUUUAUAUAGUCAAAGUGUAAUAGGAUAUGACCAGCUACUACCUACUGUCAAGUCCUCCUCUUGUUCACCAUCCAAAGGACACAGGGACAACUCAAUUUUCCAACUCAAUCUUUUUUAUUUUUAGUUUGCCUUCAGUUGGUUGGUCUGUCCAGUAAAUUAGCCAGUAAAUAGCCAGUAAAUUAGGUUGUAAACCUUUAAAGACAGAACAAAAAGUUACCAUCUUAAUUAAACAUUUUAAUGAACUUAAAUUAGUUUAAAUAUUUAAAUAACAUUCUAAAUAACUAAGAUGAAUUAACCAUUUAAGCCUUUUACCAUUGGCGUCUUUGGACUGAACCUGUGAGUGAACUUGGAGUUUCCCUCUGAAGUUUGUUCUUCUGAAUGACUGAUGCCCUCCAUGCCUUCACAGGUGCUCCAAAUAAGUGAAAAUUAUUGAUCAGGUGACAAGCAGCCGGUUUGCUGCUGCACUCUGGGAAGUGUAGUUCUUUGACUCACUCCUGAUAUUCAGCUCAACACCUACUAUACUGGCUAUUAGGGAAUACUCACCUGAUCCCUCCUUCUGCCAUGCGCUUUUGGGUGGGCUUGGUGAUGGUCAUUUUGCCUAUGGGCCCAGGUUGCAGACCCUGUAAAAAGACAGUACAAGGGCACUAUUCUAAAUCUAAUCAUGAGAUGAUUUAAGUUUUCAUGAAAUCAUUUAUUAGCAUUAUGAUGUGAUUAUAACCAUAUGAUGUUGAUAUGUGUUCAAGAUGGCGUAGCAGUCAGACGUCUUUGUCCUUCGUCUUGUCGUGUCCCAUGUAUAUAUCUUUUUAGAUCUUUUUCUUCGCAUAUCUUUUUAAUAUUUUCCUAAACCUCAACUUCCAAAUACUCUCCUGCAACCCGCCUCACCCAAUGUGGUGUGGAUCUGCUUUUUUCUAAAGUAUUUUAUCUUUACCUCUGAAUCGGAAUCCCCC